GCUCCGUUUUGAUAAUGUUUAUACAAUUUAUUUUAUUUUUAUCUUUUUCUAUGGUUGCCCCGUUUGGAGGCAGGGACACCUUUGUAAUUUGUAGCCAAUUGUUAUCGUUUAAACAGAUAUUUUGGGAAAUCUAUAUGAUUCCUUCCUUGAAUUAACACUGCAGCUGGAUUGCUCAUUGAUGUCCCUGGUCUUUAACCCCAUAAACCGUUAUAUAUGAUCAUGCACAUGACCAUUUUCACCUCGGCGGUUUUCUGUGUUUGUCGCUAGUUGUGGUUGCAUAUUUUGACUGGAUAUCGCUCCCUCCCCUGAAGAAGCGGAAGUCCGCGAAACAUGUAGGGUCUAUGCGAUUUCCUUUUCCAGUUGCAUCCAU